GUGACAGCCGCCGCGGUAAUACGUAGGGUGCGAGCGUUAAUCGGAAUUACUGGGCGUAAAGCGUGCGCAGGCAGUCUUGAAAGUCAGAUGUGAAAUCCCCGGGCUCAACCUGGGAACUGCGUUUGAAACUCCAAGACUAGAGUAUGGCAGAGGGGGGUAGAAUUCCACGUGUAGCAGUGAAAUGCGUAGAGAUGUGGAGGAAUACCAAUGGCGAAGGCAGCCCCCUGGGUCAAUACUGACGCUCAUGCACGAAAGCGUGGGGAGCAAACAGGAUUAGAUACCCUUGUAGUCC
rnacentral:rRNA from 1 species